rnacentral:rRNA from 1 species
CACGCUGUAAACGAUGAUUACUAGGUGUGGGGGGUCUGACCCCUUCCGUGCCGGAGUUAACACAAUAAGUAAUCCACCUGGGGAGUACGGCCGCAAGGUUGAAACUCAAAGGAAUUGACGGGGGCCCGCACAAGCAGUGGAGUAUGUGGUUUAAUUCGAAGCAACGCGAAGAACCUUACCAGGUCUUGACAUCCAACUAACGAAGUAGAGAUACAUUAGGUGCCCUUCGGGGAAAGUUGAGACAGGUGG